AUGCUAGUUAGCUUGAGCUACAGCACCUUGGGUCACUGUUUCAAUAGCUACAAUUGUUUCGGCAACUUCUCUAGCUGUACACUUGUACUACUUCUUUCGAAUUUGAUACCUACGAGCCCAUCCAGUAAACUGUGGGUUCAUCUUGCCGGUGGAGAGCUCGGACGCUUAGUGGGAUCCAAUUCCAGGGAUUUUCUAGGUUCAUUAAUCAAGCCUUUUGGGGUGAAAUUUCCCUUUCUGCCAGUCUGCCGCCACCACUGCUUGGGUCGCACAGAUUUGUCCGUCCCUGCUCAGCUCUGGGGCCGCCGCGUGCUGCAGCUCGCCGACGCCGGCGACGGGCUAAUGCAGGGCGCCAUCGGGACAUCGCUAUCAUUGACCUCCUCAAGCACCGUGAAUCUUUUAAUUGGCUGCAUCAGGAAUUCUAUCUCCUGCUCAUCGGCGACGGCCCAUUCCCACGGUGGCUGA
rnacentral:rRNA from 1 species